rnacentral:rRNA from 1 species
GAAUUUUCCACAAUGGGCGCAAGCCUGAUGGAGCAACGCCGCGUGCGGGAUGACGCCCUUCGGGGUGUAAACCGCUUUUCGAGGGGACGAAGGCAAUGACGGUACCCUCGGAAUAAGGAUCGGCUAACUACGUGCCAGCAGCCGCGGUAAGACGUAGGAUCCGAGCGUUGUCCGGAGUUACUGGGCGUAAAGCGCGCGCAGGCGGAUACGCGCAUCGGCGGUGAAAGCCCCCCGCUCAACGGGGGAGGGUCCGUCGAGAUGGCGUGUCUGGAGGCAGGGAGAGGCCAGUGGAAUUCCGGGUGUAGUGGUGAAAUGCGUAGAGAUCCGGAGGAACACCAGUGGCGAAGGCGGCUGGCUGGACCUGACCAGACGCUGAGGCGCGAAGGCGUGGGGAGCGAACGG